AUGAGGCUAAAGGAUUUGUUAAGAACAGUGAUAAUUCAUGAGGGGCAUCCAGAUGUGGUGUUUUGGAGGCCUCCCAAUUCCUGUUUCACUAUUGAGUUUGGCGCUGAUCUAUCCCUCGCAACCGCUGUUGGCUGUUUGAGCAAUCAACAUCAGUUUUUUCUAACCCCCGGUUUGUCUGUUUUGCAGGUCCAUGUUCCUCUGGUUCAAUUAUCGGGCAAUUUUGGUUCUGCUGUAGACGAAUUCGGUUGCUGA